GAAUGGAGGUGAGAAGAGAAAAGUCUCACAAGUGGAUUCUGGAAAAAAUGGGGAAGACGCGUGAGAAAGGGGAGGGUAGGAUUGGAAAAAUUGAAAAGCUUCAUUAACUUGUUAUUGUUUACCCGUAUUUUGGUGAAAUAAGUUGAUUUUUUAAAGCUGUCUUUUCUAGCUUUGGGCUUUUAGCUUUUUUUCACCCAUAACUUUGAAAAGAAGCUGAUUUUAGAUGUUUACCAAACACUUAAAAUAUCCCAAUUUUUUUUCAUACCCACUUUUUUUUAAAAGUUAAGCUAAGCCAAACUGGGGCUAAGCAGCAAGAAGCUGAUUAGGAGGUGAGGCAGAGAAGAUAAGCUUGCAGUAAGGAAGGUGGGCUCGAUAGGAGAGGGUCAU
rnacentral:lncRNA from 1 species